rnacentral:rRNA from 1 species
UACGGGGGGGGCAAGCGUUGUUCGGAAUUACUGGGCGUAAAGGGCUCGUAGGCGGCCAACUAAGUCAGACGUGAAAUCCCCAGGCUCAACCUGGGAACUGCGUCUGAUACUGGAUGGCUUGAAUCCGGGAGAGGGAUGCAGAAUUCCAGGUGUAGCGGUGAAAUGCGUAGAUAUCUGGAGGAACACCGGUGGCGAAAGCGGCUCACUGGACCGUCUCUGACGCUGAGGUGCGAAAGCCAGGGUAGCGAACGGG